rnacentral:rRNA from 1 species
UACGAAGGCAGCAGUGGGGAAUAUUGCACAAUGGGCGCAAGCCUGAUGCAGCCAUGCCGCGUGUAUGAAGAAGGCCUUCGGGUUGUAAAGUACUUUCAGUCGUGAGGAAGGUGUUAAGGUUAAUAACCUUAGCAAUUGACGUUAGCGACAGAAGAAGCACCGGCUAACUCCGUGCCAGCAGCCGCGGUAAUACGGAGGGUGCGAGCGUUAAUCGGAAUUACUGGGCGUAAAGGGCACGCAGGCGGUUAAUUAAGUUGGAUGUGAAAUCCCCGGGCUUAACCUGGGAAUGGCAUUCAAGACUGGUUAGCUAGAGUCUUGUAGAGGGGGUAGAAUUCCAUGUGUAGCGGUGAAAUGCGUAGAGAUGUGGAGGAAUACCGGUGGCGAAGGCGGCCCCUGGGACAAAGGGACCUGACGCUCAUGUGCGAAAGCGUGGGGAGCAAACG